CCAAAGGCUCUUUUAAGAGCCACCUACUACUCUGAAGAUCUGAG
rfam:Mustela putorius furo unplaced genomic scaffold scaffold00400, whole genome shotgun sequence.